GCUAGGUAUGGUGGUGGGUACCUGUAAUCCCAGUUACUUGGGAGGCUGAGGCAGAGAAUUGCUUGAACCUGGGAGGUGGAGGUUGCAGUGAGCCAACUUCGUGCCACUGCACUCCACCCUGGGCGACAGUGAUUCUCCUUCUCAAAAAUAUAUACCUGUACAUAAGUCGAAUCUGUGUAUAUGUAUGUAUGGAGUGCAGUGGCACGAUCUUGGCUCACUGCAGCCUCUGCCUCCCAGGUUCAAGCAAUUCUCCUGCCUU
rnacentral:SRP_RNA from 1 species